rnacentral:rRNA from 1 species
UACGUAGGGGGCGAGCGUUGUCCGAAGUUACUGGGCGUAAAGCGCGCGUAGGCGGCUCUUUAAGUCCGGCGUGAAAGGUUCAGGGCUCAACCCGAACAGUGCGCUGGAGACUGGAGAGCUUGAGGAUGGGAGAGGGAAGCGGAAUUCCGGGUGUAGCGGUGAAAUGCGUAGAUAUCCGGAGGAACACCGAUGGCGAAGGCAGCUUCCUGGCCCAUAUCUGACGCUGAGGUGCGAAAGCGUGGGGAGCGAACGGG